GAUGAACGCUAGCGACAGGCCUAACACAUGCAAGUCGAGGGGCAGCACAUGAGUAGCAAUACGAUGGUGGCGACCGGCGCACGGGUGAGUAACACGUAUGCAACCUACCUGUAAGAGGGGAAUAACCCGGAGAAAUUCGGACUAACACCGCAUAAUACCUCGAAGCUGCAUGGCUUUGAGGUUAAAUAUUUAUAGCUUACAGAUGGGCAUGCGUAACAUUAGAUAGUUGGUGAGGUAACGGCUCACCAAGUCAACGAUGUUUAGGGGUUCUGAGAGGAAGGUCCCCCACACUGGUACUGAGACACGGACCAGACUCCUACGGGAGGCAGCAGUGAGGAAUAUUGGUCAAUGGGCGAGAGCCUGAACCAGCCAAGUCGCGUGAAGGAAGAAGGUUCUAUGGAUUGUAAACUUCUUUUGUAAGGGAAUAAAAGAGUUACGUGUAACUUAUUGUAUGUACUUUACGAAUAAGGAUCGGCUAACUCCGUGCCAGCAGCCGCGGUAAA
rnacentral:rRNA from 1 species